AUUGUGUGUUUCAAGGAAAAUGGCGAAGAACUAACUUCAGCAGCAUCUUUGGAAGCUAUUUAUAGUAUUGCUCAGACUCCUGAAGGAAUUAAAAUCAUCUUACCUCAUGGAAGUGAAGAGUCUGUCCGGCUUAAAGUUGUAGCUGCCCAUUGCUCU